UACGAAGGGGGCUAGCGUUGCUCGGAAUGACUGGGCGUAAAGGGCGCGCAGGCGGCUGCUCAAGUCAGGCGUGAAAGGCCUGGGCUCAACCCGGGAAUUGCGCUUGAGACUGGGCUGGCUUGAGUGCGGGAGAGGAUGGUGGAAUUCCCAGUGUAGAGGUGAAAUUCGUAGAUAUUGGGAAGAACACCGGUGGCGAAGGCGGCCUUCUGGUCCAGUACUGACACUCAAGUGCGAAAGCGUGGGGAGCAAACAGG
rnacentral:rRNA from 1 species